UACGAAGGGUGCAAGCGUUAAUCGGAAUUACUGGGCGUAAAGCGUGCGCAGGCGGUGGCUCAAGCCAGGCGUGAAAUCCCCGGGCUUAACCUGGGAAUGGCGUUUGGGACUGGGUCGCUAGAGUGUGGCAGAGGGAGGUGGAAUUCCACGUGUAGCAGUGAAAUGCGUAGAGAUGUGGAGGAACACCGAUGGCGAAGGCGGCCUUCUGGACAGUGACUGACGCUGAGACGCGAAAGCGUGGGGAGCGAACAGG
rnacentral:rRNA from 1 species